CACACCUCUUUAGUGGGACCAUUUACAGCACGAGGUGAAUGACCUUUUGCCAAAGAAUGAGCUGUAGCAACUUCCAGUUUAUUUGCUCAGGUUAUUGGCAUAAUCAGUAUUAAAAGAGCACGCUGAGUAGAAUGACACUCAGUAAUAAGUUACUCUUCAGUUAAAAUAAAUUGUGAUGUUCACUCUGCUUGGCUCAGUCCUCAUUGCAUACAGGAAGCAUGUCCUGAUAAAGCAGAUAUUACUCUUUUUUUUCUUUUUUUUUUUUUUUUUUUUUUUCUGUGAAUGGCCAUUCUAAGGCUGUCAGAGCAUCUUACCAGAGCAAGCAACUUUGCUUACAAAGCUUGAAGCAUCAGUCAGAGAUUUUGCCAUCCCAGUUUCACAGGUACUGGUAAUGCCUGGCUAAGUCAAUAGUCUGCUAAGAGGCUCUGCAGACUGAUGUGCUACUUUUUGUGACAGCCACAUUAAGAAAGAAGGAUUCCUCCCCCCUGAAAUACCUGAUUCACGGAUGGAGCUGCACACUGCAAAGCAAGAGAGAUGCAUCUCACCAAUGGGGACACACAGCUAGCUCUGGUUAGCUCCAGCUGAACUGCAGAUGCUGGAUCUUUUUAGAAGUGCCACCAGUGUGGGCAACACUUUUCUAGCAUCUUUGGGAGCAUGUUUUUGUUGCCAUGGAAAGAGUGCACAGGACUACGACAUAAGUGGUCUCACAAUCAAAUCCUCUGGCCUUGGGAAAGCUCAAAGAAGACACUUGGCCUCUGCAGAACAAUCUCUGAGUAGAGGGGUAGAGACACUGGCCAAAAUGAAGAGGUGACUGUAACAUAAGGAUGGUGACUGCAAAACCCCAGAAGGUUCCUUUUCAUCCCAAUUUUCUACAUGGUUUGAUGCAUAUAUCUAGGGUCAGGAUGCAGGUAGGUAGGUGGCUGAGAUAUGUUUAGGAUUCAGCAUGAUGUACAUGGAAAUGAAACCACUGUUCUCCAAUGUUUAGAGUUGGCUCUUGUGCUCAGUAACCCUCUCCUUUUCCAGAGAACCACAAACAUGCUCAGGAGUGCUCCUCUCCAGAAGGGUGUAUUUGAUUCUGUGUCUCUCCUGACAACACUGGCACUGGUUAAUGUGAGAUAUCUUUUUACUUCUUGGAGACACUUUCACUGUCUUUGGCCAGGAAGCAAAGUGGAGAUAAGAUCUGAUUUGUGUUCUGUUUCCUCCUCGAUUUGUCUUCACUACACUUGGGAAGAAUUUGUCUGACCUUGGUGUUUUAAUUUUGCUUAUCUUUUUUGAUCCCUUCAGUGUCUUUGACCUGAAAUGCCUGGUUACAGAAUAACUAAACAUUCAGGGUUGCAGUUUUUUUUCUUUCCAUGUACAAAAGCAGAGUUCAAAUGCAGCAGGAAAGCCAGAUUUUUUUUUUCUUUGUGAAACAAUCAGAUAGUUGCUGUCAUUCUGAAAAAAUUUAUAUCAAAAUAAAUCUUCAGUUAAAAUUCA